rnacentral:rRNA from 1 species
CCUACACACGUGCUACAAUGGCAGGUACAGAGAGCUAUCCACUUUAGCGAUAUAGGAAGCGAUAUCUUAUUUAUACCGUGUCUCUAGUGUCGGAUUGGAGUCGGCUACUCUGACUCUAUGAAGCUGGAAUCGCUAGUGAAUCGGAUCAUCUAGCCAUGAUGCCGGUGAAUACGUUCCCGGGCCUGGACACACCGCCCGUGCAAGCCAUGACUUNAACGUACCUGGAGGUCGUGACCGUGCAAGAGCUCACGGGUACGAAACGGGG